rnacentral:rRNA from 1 species
UACGGGGGGGGCAAGCGUUGUUCGGAAUUACUGGGCGUAAAGGGCUCGUAGGUGGCCAACUAAGUCAGACGUGAAAUCCCUCGGCUUAACCGGGGAACUGCGUCUGAUACUUGAUGGCUUGAGAUUGGGAGAGGGAUGCGGAAUUCCAGGUGUAGCGGUGAAAUGCGUAGAUAUCUGGAGGAACACCGGUGGCGAAGGCGGCAUCCUGGACCAACACUGACACUGAGGAGCGAAAGCCAGGGGAGCAAACGGG